ensembl:snRNA U6 U6 spliceosomal RNA
CUGCUCAUUUCAGCAGCAUAUACAAUAAAAAUGGAGCAAUGCAGAAAAGAUUAGCAUGACCCCUUGACAGGGAUGGCAUGCAGAUUCACAAAGCAUUCUGUGGUUUG